rnacentral:rRNA from 1 species
GACGAACGCUGGCGGCGUGCCUAAUACAUGCGAGUCGAACGCACAGUUUAUACCGUAGCUUGCUACACCAUAGACUGUGAGUUGCGAACGGGUGAGUAACGCGUAGGUAACCUGCCUGGUAGCGGGGGAUAACUAUUGGCAACGAUAGCUAAUACCGCAUAAUAUUAAUUAUUGCAUGAUAAUUAAUUGAAAGGUGCAAUUGCACCACUACCAGAUGGACCUGCGUUGUAUUAGCUAGUAGGUGAGGUAACGGCUCACCAAGUCGACGAUACAUAACCGACAUGAAAGGGCAAACGGCCACCACGGGACUUAGGCAAGGCCCAACCUCCUACAGGAGGCAGCAGAAGGGAAACUACGGCAAAUAACGAAAGUCCGACCGAGCAAGGCGGCAUGAGAGAAGAAGGUGUUCGGAACGUAGAGCUCAGUUGUAAGAUAAGAACGGGUGUGAGAGUGGAAAGUUCACACUGUGGCGGUAUCUUACCAGAAAGGGACGGCUAACUACAUG